GCAGGGGUAAUAAGGUGGGUGGAAGUGUUAAUGAGGAAAUACUGGGGGUAAAGCGCAUGGAGGGGGUUGAGUGAGUUAGAUGUGAGAUUCACGGGGGUUGACCGUGGGAAUUGCGUCGGAUGACUGGUCAGCUAGAGUCUUGUAGAGGGGGGUAGAAGUGCAUGUGUAGCGGUGAGAUGUGGAGAGAUGUGGAGGAAUACCGGUGGUGAAGGCGGGUCUGUGGACAAAGAUUGAGGAUCAGGUGCGAAAGCGUGGUGAGCAAACAGGAUUAGAUACCCUGGUAGUCCACGCUGUAAAAGAGGUUGACUUGGAGGUUGUGCGAAUGAGGCGUGGCUUCAGGAGAUAAUGCGUGAAGUGGAUCGGAUGGGGAGUACGGGUGCAAGGUUAAGAUUCAAAUGAAUUGACGGGGGACCGCACGAGCGGUGGAGCAUGUGGGUUAAUUCGAUGCAAGGUGAAGAACUUUGCAUACUCGUGACAUCCAGAGAGGUUUGCAGAGAUGGUUUGGUGGUUUGGGGAAUUAUGAGACAGGGGCUGCAUGGCUGUCGUCAGCUUGUGGUGUGAAAUGUUGGGUUAAGUCGAGGAACGAGCGCAACCCUUAUGCUUGGUUGCCAGAGCGUGAUGGCGGGAAUUCAAAGGAGACUGCCGGUGAUAAACGGGAGGAAGGUGGGGAUGACGUCAAGUCAUCAUGGCCGUUACGAGUAGGGCUACACACGUGAUACAAUGGUGUAUACAAAGGGAAGUGACCCCGCGAGGGCAAGCGGAACUGAUAAAGUAAGUGGUAGUGCGGAGUGGAGUCUGCAACUUGAUUCGAUGAAGUUGGAAUGGCUAGUAAUCGGAGAUCAGAAUGUUACGGUGAAUAUGUUGCCGGGCCUUGUACACACCGCCCGUCACAGCAUGGGAGUGGGUUGCAAAAGAAGU
rnacentral:rRNA from 1 species